GAUGAACGCUGGCGGCGUGCUUAACACAUGCAAGUCGAACGGUGAACACGGAGCUUGCUCUGUGGGAUCAGUGGCGAACGGGUGAGUAACACGUGAGCAACCUGCCCCUGACUCUGGGAUAAGCGCUGGAAACGGCGUCUAAUACUGGAUAUGUGACGUGACCGCAUGGUCUGCGUUUGGAAAGAUUUUUCGGUUGGGGAUGGGCUCGCGGCCUAUCAGCUUGUUGGUGAGGUAAUGGCUCACCAAGGCGUCGACGGGUAGCCGGCCUGAGAGGGUGACCGGCCACACUGGGACUGAGACACGGCCCAGACUCCUACGGGAGGCAGCAGUGGGGAAUAUUGCACAAUGGGCGCAAGCCUGAUGCAGCAACGCCGCGUGAGGGAUGACGGCCUUCGGGUUGUAAACCUCUUUUAGCAGGGAAGAAGCGAAAGUGACGGUACCUGCAGAAAAAGCGCCGGCUAACUACGU
rnacentral:rRNA from 1 species